rnacentral:rRNA from 1 species
AAUGAACGCUGGCGGCGUGCUUAACACAUGCAAGUCGUGCGAGAAAGUGGCUUCGGCCACGAGUAAAGCGGCGAACGGGUGAGUAACACGUGGAUAACCUACCUGAGAGUGGGGGAUAACUCGGGGAAACCCGGGCUAAUACCGCAUACGACCGCGAGACCUCGGUCUCGUGAGGAAAGCGGGCCUCUUCAUGAAAGCUCGCGCUCCCAGAUGGGUCCGCGCCUGAUUAGCUAGUUGGUGAGGUAAUGGCUCACCAAGGCGACGAUCAGUAGCCGGCCUGAGAGGGUGAUCGGCCACACUGGAACUGAGACACGGUCCAGACUCCUACGGGAGGCAGCAGUGGGGAAUAUUGGACAAUGGGGGAAACCCUGAUCCAGCAACGCCGCGUGGAGGACGAAGGCUUUCGGGUCGUAAACUCCUGUCAGUUGGGACGAAAAGGUGUCGGAGUAAUACCCGGCAUCCAUGACGGUACCUUCAGAGGAAGCCCCGGCUAACUCCGUG